AGAGUUUGAUCCUGGCUCAGGAUGAACGCUAGCGGCAGGCCUAAUACAUGCAAGACGAGCGGUAAGAGUUUCAGCAAUGGAAUUCCAAGAGCGUCGUAAGGGUGCGUAACACGUAUGCAAUCUGCCCGGAACAGGAGAAUAGCUCGGGGAAACUCGAAUUAACACUCCAUAAGACAGUAAUGUGGCAUCACAUAGCUGUU
rnacentral:rRNA from 1 species